rnacentral:rRNA from 1 species
AUAUCAAUAAGCGGAGGAAAAGAAACUAACAAGGAUUCCCCUAGUAACUGCGAGUGAAGCGGGAAAAGCUCAAAUUUAAAAUCUGGCAGUCCGAGUUUGGCUGUCCGAGUUGUAAUCUAGAGAAGUACUUAUCCGCGCUGGACCGUGUACAAGUCUCCUUGGAACGGAGCGUCGUAGAGGGUGACAAUCCCGUCUUUGACACGGACUGCCAGGGCUUAUGUGAUAUGCGCUCUCGAAAGAGUCGAGUUGUUUGGGAAUGCAGCUCAAAAUGGGUGGUAAAUUCCAUCUAAAGCUAAAUAUUGGCGAGAGACCGAUAGCGAACAAGUACCGUGAGGGAAAGAUGAAAAGAACUUUGAAAAGAGAGUUAAACAGUAC